ensembl:misc_RNA 7SK 7SK RNA
GGAUGUGAGGACGAUCUGGCUACACCACCUGUUAUCCCAAUGAUCACCAGGGUGGAUACAGCAAAUCUGGCUGGCUAGGCUGGUGUCCCCUUCCUCCCUCACCACUCCAUGUGCGUCCCUCCCCAAAGCUAUGUGCUUGGUCGAAGAGGAGGACAACCUUCUCUGAAUAGAGACACGAAUCAAGGGUCUUUGGUUGAGGAUAUCUGAGUAGCUGCUAGAACUUCCAAAUGAGCUCUCAAAAUAAAUUCAUAUUGUGACAUAUUUUUAAAGUGUAUCAGACAGCACCAAUAUAAUUCUCAGAAGUCAAAACUUUUCACAAUACAGAGAUAAUUCUGUUUAA